AACGCUAGCUACAGGCUUAACACAUGCAAGUCGAGGGGCAGCAUGGUCUUAGCUUGCUAAGACUGAUGGCGACCGGCGCACGGGUGAGUAACACGUAUCCAACCUGCCGUCUACUCUUGGACAGCCUUCUGAAAGGAAGAUUAAUACAAGAUGGCAUCAUGAGUCCACAUGUUCACAUGAUUAAAGGUAUUCCGGUAGACGAUGGGGAUGCGUUCCAUUAGAUAGUAGGUGGGGUAACGGCCCACCAAGGCUACGAUCAGUAGGGGUUCUGAGAGGAAGGUCCCCCACAUUGGAACUGAGACACGGACCAAACUCCUACGGGAGGCAGCAGUGAGGAAUAUUGGUCAAUGGGCGAGAGCCUGAACCAGCCAAGUAGCGUGAAGGAUGAAGGUCCUAUGGAUUGUAAACUUCUUUUAUAGUAGAAUAAAGUGAUCCACGUGUGGAUUUUUGUAUGUAUACUAUGAAUAAGGAUCGGCUAACUCCGUGCCAGCAGCCGCGGUAAUACGGAAGGUCCGGGCGUUAUCCGGAUUUAUUGGGUUUAAAGGGAGCGUAGGCCGGAGAUUAAGCGUGUUGUGAAAUGUAGAUGCUCAACAUCUGCACUGCAGCGCGAACUGGUUUCCUUGAGUACGCACAAAGUGGGCGGAAUUCGUGGUGUAGCGGUGAAAUGCUUAGAUAUCACGAAGAACUCCGAUUG
rnacentral:rRNA from 1 species